rnacentral:rRNA from 1 species
GACGAACGCUGGCGGCGUGCUUAACACAUGCAAGUCGAACGGAAAGGCCCUGCUUUUGUGGGGUGCUCGAGUGGCGAAAGGGUGAGUAACAAGUGAGUAACCUGCCCUUGACUUUGGGAUAACUUCAGGAAACUGGGGCUAAUACCGGAUAGGAGCUCCUGCUGCAUGGUGGGGGUUGGAAAGUUUCGGCGGUUGGGGAUGGACUCGCGGCUUAUCAGCUUGUUGGUGGGGUAGUGGCUUACCAAGGCUUUGACGGGUAGCCGGCCUGAGAGGGUGACCGGCCACAUUGGGACUGAGAUACGGCCCAGACUCCUACGGGAGGCAGCAGUGGGGAAUAUUGCACAAUGGGCGGAAGCCUGAUGCAGCAACGCCGCGUGCGGGAUGACGGCCUUCGGGUUGUAAACCGCUUUCGCCUGUGACGAAGCGUGAGUGACGGUAAUGGGUAAAGAAGCACCGGCUAACUACGUG